AUUGAACGCUGGCGGCAUGCCUUACACAUGCAAGUCGAACGGUAACGCGGGGCAACCUGGCGACGAGUGGCGAACGGGUGAGUAAUGUAUCGGAACGUGCCCAGUUGUGGGGGAUAACUGCUCGAAAGAGCAGCUAAUACCGCAUACGACCUGAGGGUGAAAGCGGGGGAUCGCAAGACCUCGCGCAAUUGGAGCGGCCGAUAUCAGAUUAGGUAGUUGGUGGGGUAAAGGCCCACCAAGCCAGCGAUCUGUAGCUGGUCUGAGAGGACGACCAGCCACACUGGGACUGAGACACGGCCCAGACUCCUACGGGAGGCAGCAGUGGGGAAUUUUGGACAAUGGGCGGAAGCCUGAACCAGCCAUGCCGCGUGAAGGAAAAAGUCCUACGGACUGUAAACUUCUUUGGCCGGGGAGCAAUAAGGGUCACGUGUGACCCGAUGAGAGUACCCGGCAAAAAAGCAUCGGCUAACUCCGUGCCAGCAGCCGCCGCUGUAA
rnacentral:rRNA from 1 species